AGCUCCAAUAGCGUAUAUUAAAGUUGUUGCAGUUAAAAAGCUCGUAGUUGGAUUUCUGGUAGGAGUGACCGUUCCGGACUUGAUUGUCUGUGUAUUGUGUUUUCUCCAGCCAUCCUUGUGGAAAACUUUUCUAGCAUUAAUUUGUUGGGAUUGGGCCCCACAUCGUUUACUGUGAAAAAAUUAGAGUGUUUAAAGCAGGCAAUGGCUUGAAUACAUUAGCAUGGAAUAAUAAGAUAGGACUUUGGUACUAUUUUGUUGGUUUGCAUACCAAAUUAAUGAUCAACAGGAACAGUUUGAGGAUAUUCGUAUGAACAUGUCAGAGGUGAAAUUCUUGGAUUUUGAUCAGACGAACUACUGCGAAAGCAUUUAUCAAGGAUGUUUUCAUUAAUCAAGAACGAAA
rnacentral:rRNA from 1 species